rnacentral:rRNA from 1 species
CCUACGGGAGGCAGCAGUAGGGAAUCUUCCUCAAUGGGCGAAAGCCUGAUGGAGCAACGCCGCGUGGGUGAUGAAGGUCUUCGGAUUGUAAAACCCUGUUGUUAGAGAAGAAAGUGCGUGUGUGUAACUGUUCACGUUUGGACGGCAUCUAACCAGAAAGCCACGGCUAACUACGUGCCAGCAGCUGCGGUAAAACGGAGGUGGCUAGAGUUAGCUUGAUUUAUUUGGCGUAAAGGGAGCGCAGGCGGUAUUUUAAGCCUGAUGUGAAAGUCUUGGGCUUAACCGGAGUAGUGCAUUGGAAACUGGGAGACUAGAGUGCGGAAGAGGUGGGUGGAACUCCAGGUGUAGCGGUGAAAUGCGUAGAGAUAAGGAAGAACACCAGUGGCGAAGGCGGCUCUCUGGACUGUAACUGACGCUGAGGUUCGAAAGCGUGGGUAGCAAACAGGAUUAGAUACCCGUGUAGUC